rnacentral:rRNA from 1 species
CCUACGGGAGGCAGCAGUGGGGAAUAUUGGACAAUGGGGGGAACCCUGAUCCAGCCAUGCCGCGUGUGUGAAGAAGGCCCUCGGGUUGUAAAGCACUUUCAGUGAGGAAGAACGCCUGGUGGUUAAUACCCAUCAGGAAAGACAUCACUCACAGAAGAAGCACCGGCUAACUCCGUGCCAGCAGCCGCGGUAAUACGGAGGGUGCGAGCGUUAAUCGGAAUUACUGGGCGUAAAGCGCGCGUAGGUGGCUUGAUAAGCCGGUUGUGAAAGCCCCGGGCUCAACCUGGGAACGGCAUCCGGAACUGUCAAGCUAGAGUGCAGGAGAGGAAGGUAGAAUUCCCGGUGUAGCGGUGAAAUGCGUAGAGAUCGGGAGGAAUACCAGUGGCGAAGGCGGCCUUCUGGACUGACACUGACACUGAGGUGCGAAAGCGUGGGUAGCAAAGAGGAUUAGAUACCCGUGUAGUC